rnacentral:rRNA from 1 species
AGCAGUCGCCGCGGGAAUACGUAGGGCGCGAGCGUUGUCCGGAAUUAUUGGGCGUAAAGAGCUCGUAGGCGGUUUGUUGCGUCGGCUGUGAAAACCUGCGGCUUAACUGUGGGCUUGCAGUCGAUACGGGCAGACUUGAGUUCGGCAGGGGAGACUGGAAUUCCUGGUGUAGCGGUGAAAUGCGCAGAUAUCAGGAGGAACACCGGUGGCGAAGGCGGGUCUCUGGGCCGAUACUGACGCUGAGGAGCGAAAGCGUGGGGAGCGAACAGGAUUAGAUACCCCGGUAGUCCCUGUCUCUUAUAC